rnacentral:pre_miRNA from 1 species
UUUGGGGGGGGUUCCUCAGCCCGGAUUGUGAGAGAGCUCAGGCCAGGCAGAGGGACUCCACUGGUGCAGG